GUCUAUGGCCAUGCCACCCUGAACAAGACCGAUCCUGUCUAAUCUCGGAAGCUAAGCAGGGUUGGGCCUGGUUAAUACUUGGAUGGGAGACCACCUUGGAAUACAAGGUGCCGUCGGCA
rnacentral:rRNA from 1 species